rnacentral:rRNA from 1 species
CCUACGGGAGGCAGCAGUGGGGAAUAUUGCACAAUGGGGGAAACCCUGAUGCAGCGACGCAGCGUGCGUGAUGAAGGAUUUCGGUAUGUAAAGCUCUAUCAGCAGGGAAGAAGAAAGACGGUACCUGACUAUGAAGCACCGGCUAACCACGUUCCAGCAGCCGCGGUAAUACGUAGGGGGCAAGCGUUAUCCGGAUUUACUGGGUCGAAAGGGAGCGGAGUCGGGUGUGCAAGUCUGAAGUGAAAGCCCAGGGCUCAACCCUGGGAUUGCUUUGGAAACUGUGGAGCUAGAGUGCUGGAGAGGUAAGUGGAAUUCCAAGUGAAGCGGUGAAAUGCGUAGAUAUUAGGAGGAACACCAGAGGCGAAGGCGGCUUACUGGACAUUAACUGACGUUGAGGCUCGAAAGCGUGGGGAGCAAACAGGAUUAGAUACCCUUGUAGUC